CGUCUCCAACCUUCAGCUCAAACUCCAGCCUCUAUACCUGAACGACACGGAGAAGUAAUCCGCGAAAAUCUCAACGAUUUUGUUGGCGUUUUGCCACGGAUUUUUCGACCUAUAAAUACCUCCAAACCCCCUCUAUUUUAUUUUCCUAGAAUCCCCAAUUUUUGCGCCGCCAGGCUACGCGAAUUUCUCGCCGGAGUUCCGAUCUGCCGCCGUCAUUGGAGCUCAGAACCGGAGGGCACGGAACCGCUCGGGAGAGGUCACCGGAGCUUUCGCCGGAGUUCACCAUCGCCCGGAGCUCCAUCCGCCCGUAGCUGCCACCCGAGAGAGAGGAACACGACGGAAGAGACAUCACUGUAACCGCUGUUGUCCGCUGUAUCCCGUCAUCCACUUCACCGCCGCCAAGAACCACCAGAAGAGCGCCACCGUUCGAAGCUGCUUGGACUCUGCCAUCCCCGAAACACGGCCACAGUUGGUAAUGGUUAUUCUGAAGACGAGUAAGAGAUACCGUAGGUUGCGAGCUUACACCCAACAUGUUCGCCUGUGGCGUGAUGGAGCUCUUUGUUUAUUUAUUUACUGCUUGAACUAUGUUAUUUUCAGCUAGCCUUGAGCUAUGCACUUUGUAAUAAUUAUACCAUGGAUCAUACGUUGUAAUAAUUGACGCAUUUGCUAUUCUGGUUAUUCAUCGAACUGUGUGUGCUAGCGAUUGAUCCAAGGGACUAGCACAGAAAAGCACAGAGAUUCAAUCUGUAUUCAGGUUGUGUCGCUUCA